GACGAACGCUGGCGGCGUGCUUAACACAUGCAAGUCGAACGAGAAGAGAUGAGAAGCUUGCUUCUUAUCAAUUCGAGUGGCAAACGGGUGAGUAACGCGUAAGCAACCUGCCCUUCAGAUGGGGACAACAGCUGGAAACGGCUGCUAAUACCGAAUACGUUCUUUUGUCGCAUGGCAGAGGGAAGAAAGGGAGGCUCUUCGGAGCUUUCGCUGAAGGAGGGGCUUGCGUCUGAUUAGCUAGUUGGAGGGGUAACGGCCCACCAAGGCGACGAUCAGUAGCCGGACUGAGAGGUUGAUCGGCCACAUUGGGACUGAGACACGGCCCAG
rnacentral:rRNA from 1 species